GCUGGACAGUGGUGGCGCACGCCUUUAAUCCCAGCACUUGGGAGGCAGAGGCAGGUGGAUUUCUGAGUUCCAGGCCAGCCUGGUCUACAGAGUGAGUUCCAGGACAGCCAGGGCUAUACAGAGAAACCCUGUCUCGAAAACUAUGUUCUAUUUCAAAAUUAACACUGAAAUAUUUUCCAAUAAAAAAAAAAUUUAGACUUUUUUUUUUUCAGACAGGAUUUCUCUGUGUAUUCCUGGCUGUCCUGGAACUCACUCUGUAGACCAGACUAGCCUGGAACUCAGAAAUCUGCCUGC
rnacentral:lncRNA from 1 species